UUUCUCUGAACUAAAUGUUAAUAAUAAGGCCUGUAAUACUAUGAGAAGGAAAUGGUGGCAAUCGGCAAAUGGAACUCUGUUGCUUGGUAACAAAACCUGAGGAUUGUUUUGGAUUAGCAAUAAAACAACUGGCCACUGGCAUAUAACAACAGUAGGUAUGAUGCUUUUAUCAUGUGCUUAAUAAAUGUUAAUGAAAUAAAACGGAAUGGAAUGGAAUGUACUAAGACAGCAUAGCCCAUGGUUUUUCCUCCUAGGAUACACAGCCUACUUAGACUCUUCAUUAUUUCUUUUUUUUUAUUUUUUAUUUUUUUUUGAGACAGAGUCUCGCUCUGUUGCCCAGGCUGGAGUGCAGUGGCAUGAUCUCGGCUCACUGCAACCUCUGCCUCCCGGGUUCAAGUAAUUCUCCUGUCUCAGCCUCCUGAGUACCUGGGAUUACAGGCACGCACCACCACGCCCAGCUAAUUUUUGUAUUUUUAGUAAAAACGGGUUUUCACCAUGUUGGUCAGGCUGGUCUCAAACUCCUGACCUCAUGAUCCGCCCACCUUGGCCUCCCAAAGUGCUGGGAUUACAGGCCUGAGCCACCGUGCCCAGCCAACAAUCUUUAUUCUUAAUGCACAAGAGAGUAUUAGGAUUUGCUAGAAGUUGAGUCCCCAUAACACAAAAUGAAUGAGAGAUUAAAUUGUUUUCCAGUUAAUUUGAUCACUAAACAUGGUUAAACUCCAUAAUUUUUUUAUUUUUAUUUAUUUAAUUUAGAUGGAGUCUCGCUCUGUCGCCCAGGCUGGAGUGCAGUGGCACGAUCUCAGCUCACUGCAACCUCUGCCUCCCAGGUUCACACCAUUCUCCUGCCUCAGCCUCCCGAGUAGCUGGAAAUACAGGCGCCCGCCACCAUGCCCGGCUAAUUUUUUGUGUAUUUAGUAGAGACGGGGUUUCACCGUGUUAGCCAGGAUGGUCUCGAUCUCCCGACCUCGUGAUCCACCUGCCUCAGCCUCCCAAAGUGCUGGGAUUACAGGUGUGAGCCACCGCACCCAGCCAAACCCCAUAAUUUAAAUUAUUAUACUUCUUGGUUUGACUAAAUGUGUAUGCUCAAAACUGUAGAACUGCUUCUACUGGUGAGCAUCAAGGACAUAGUAUUAUGAAACCUUAAUCUUUAAAAUCAUGGACCUUGAAAAACCUGCCCUUUUUAAAUCUUAUCAGGGAUUACAAGUCAAAAUGAAAUAGCUUUAAGCUGAGUAGGUUAAAGCAGCAUAGCUUUGGUCCAAGAGCCAAUCAACAUUAUUCCCUACUUCUGUUAAGAGAUAAUAAAAAGUUUUCUCUUUUCUUUUAGAAAUAAUCAAAACCCUCUGCACUCACUCAGAAAUGUCCAUAAGUCCUGUUCAAGUAAUCUUAAAAGAGACUGUUCCAAUAUUCGAUCUGCCUCGUUCAACAAGCUCUUCCGGCAGCACGUCUGGAGUUGUUCAUUCCUCCCGGUGGGCUUGCAGUCUCGCUGGCUUAAGGAGUGAAGCUGCAGAUCUUUGCGGUGAGUGUUAGAGCUCAUACAAGCAGUGUGAACCCAAAGAGUGAGCAGCAGCAAGAUUUAUUGCAAAGAGCAAAAGAACAAAGCCUCCACAGUGUGGAAGGGGACCUGAGCAGGUUGCCACUGCCGACUAGGGCAGCCUGCUUUUAUUCUCUUAUCUGGCCCCACCCACAUCCUGCUGAUUGGUAGGGCCCAGUGGCCUGUUUUGACAGGGCGCUGAUUGGUGAGUUUACAAUCCCUGAACUAGAUACAAAGGUUCUCCAUGUCCCCAUCAGAUUAGUUAGAUACAGAGUAUGGGCACAAAGGUUCUCCAAGGGCCCACCAGAGCAGCUAGAUACAGAGUGUCGAUUGGUGCACUCACAAACCCUGAGCUAGAUACAGGGUGCUGAUUGGUGUGUUUACAAACCUUGAGCUAGAUACAGAGUGCCAAUUGGUGUAUUUACAAUCCCUGAGCUAGACAUAAAGGUUCUCCAAGGUCCCACCAGAGUAGCUAGAUACAGAGUGUUGAUUGGUGCACUCACAAACCCCGAGCUAGACACAGGGUGCUGACUGGUGUGUUUAAAAACCUUGAGCUAGAUACAGAGUGCCGAUUGGUGUAUUUACAAUCCCUGAGCUAGACAUAAAGGUUCUCCAAGGCCCCACCAGAGUAGCUAGAUACAGAGUGUCGAUUGGUGCAUUCACAGACCCUGAGCUAGACACAGGGUGCUGAUUGGUGUAUUUACAAUCCCUGAGCUAGAUGUAAAGGUUCUCCACGUCUCCACCAGACUCAGGA